rnacentral:rRNA from 1 species
UACGAAGGGUGCAAACGUUGCUCGGAAUUAUUGGGCGUAAAGCGCACGUAGGCGGCUUUGUAAGUCGGGUGUGAAAUCCCCAGGCUUAACCUGGGAACUGCAUUCGAGACUGCAUUGCUAGAGUAUGGGAGAGGGAAGUGGAAUUUCCGGUGUAGCGGUGAAAUGCGUAGAUAUCGGAAGGAACAUCAGUGGCGAAAGCGACUUCCUGGACCAAUACUGACGCUCAUGUGCGAAAGCGUGGGGAGCAAACAGG